GUCUUUAACUGCUUUCUUCUGACUUCAUUGAUGCAGAUUGUAUCUGCUAGCUUAGGAAGUUUGGUUCAGCAGGUCUUUAACUGAUUUCUUCUGUCUUCAGUGAUGCAGAUUCUAUCUGCUAGCUUUAAUAGUUUUGUUUCAGCAGGUCUUUAACUGCUUUCUUCUGACUUCAGUGAUGCAGAUUCUAUCUGCUAGCUUAGGAAGUUUUGGUUCAGCAGGUCUUUAACUGCUUCUUCUGUCUUCAGGGAUGCAGAUUCUAUCUGCUAGCUUUAAUAGUUUUGUUUCAG
rnacentral:rRNA from 1 species